rnacentral:rRNA from 1 species
UACGUAGGGGGCAAGCGUUGUCCGGAUUUAUUGGGCGUAAAGAGCGUGUAGGCGGCCUUGCAAGUCGGAUGUGAAAGCCCCGGGCUCAACCCGGGAAGUGCACUCGAUACUGCAGGGCUUGAGUGUCGGAGAGGUUGGUGGAAUUCUCGGUGUAGAGGUGAAAUUCGUAGAUAUCGAGAGGAACACCGGCGGCGAAGGCGGCCAACUGGACGACUACUGACGCUGAGACACGAAAGCGUGGGGAGCAAACAGG